rnacentral:lncRNA from 1 species
CCAUUUCGAGUACUCGCACUUGAAGAACAAAUGGUUCGUUGGUAAAUUUUCCCACCGGAUUCUCCAUAAAUUUAAUGUGACUUUACCGAUUUUGUUUGCUGAUGAAGCACUGAAUUUGCUACCAGGGCUCGCGGUGGUACGAGGUUGAUGCUGGAGGCUUUGGAGUCCACGACGCAUGCUCUACGUCAAAUACCUGCAAGUGGAAACUAGGCGAUUCUAAUGAGACUCGCCGAGUUUCGUAGUGAUGCUCUGGUGUGAGAGAGGAACUUGAAUCGUGCCUUUGAGUGUCCCCUUGAGACCCUAUUUAUAGGAUCUCGGAGGGCGCAAUCAAAGGCGGACAUCGCGCCUAUGGUCAUAUAUGGUAACAUUUAUGACGUUGGCUGGCGGCGAGUAACGGUCGUAAGUCGCCGAUUCAGGUAUGGAAGUCGCCUAGUUAGGGCUAACUCGGCGAGUUUCUAGGGCCAAGAUGUGCAGUCUACCAUACUGCCGAUCUUGCCUUAACUCGGCGAGUUAUCCUGUAUGUCGGCGACUUGGUAGUCCAAUCGGGUGACUUACGGGCUAACUCGGCGAUCUGGACGAUGAACGUGUUCCGCACCAUGGGAGCUCUCCGGGGGUCCUGCCAUAGCGACGGAGCCCUAGUCCUUGUUGAAAGGCGUUGCUUGGAGUGAUUGACGUAAUCAGGCAUGUCUCACCAGUACUCCCUCCUGAAGAGAGCACAAGAAACAUGCGUGUAUCGCCAGUACCCCCCCAACCAAGGUUCAAUGUGUGUGAUCCAGCACCAAGGCCAAAGCGACAAGAUGAGAUCGAAUCAUCCGCCCACAGUGACGUAGUGAUUCAGAAUCCAUAGGCCAAAGCGUCAAGAAUGGAUCGAGUUCCAGGCCACGGUAACUCUGUUUAUAGUCCUUCCCUGAUCAAGGGCGACUGCACUGUGUUAUCGAGGCCGAAGCGACAAGAUAAAUUCCGGCCAAAGCGACGGAAUACGAUUCAGGCCGGAGCGACAGAAUCGGGUUCUUGCCAGAGCGAUAGAACCAAGUUCUAGCCGAAGCGAUAGAACUAAUG